UACAGGGGGUGCAAACGUUGCUUGGAAUCAUUGGGCGUAAAGCGCACGUAGGCGGUUCGUUAUGUCGGAUGUGAAAGCCCUUGGCUUAACCGAGGAAGUGCAUCCGAAACUGGCGAGCUAGAGUACUAAAGAGGAUCGCGGAAUUCCCGGUGUAGAGGUGAAAUUCGUAGAUAUCGGGAGGAACACCGGUGGCGAAGGCGGCGAUCUGGGUAGAUACUGACGCUGAGGUGCGAAAGCGUGGGGAGCAAACAGG
rnacentral:rRNA from 1 species